rnacentral:rRNA from 1 species
GAACCGCAUGGUUCUACAGUGAAAGACGGUCUUGCUGUCACUUAUAGAUGGACCCGCGCCGUAUUAGCUAGUUGGUGGGGUAACGGCCUACCAAGGCGACGAUACGUAGCCGACCUGAGAGGGUGAUCGGCCACACUGGAACUGAGACACGGUCCAGACUCCUACGGGAGGCAGCAGUAGGGAAUCUUCCGCAAUGGGCGAAAGCCUGACGGAGCAACGCCGCGUGAGUGAUGAAGGUCUUCGGAUCGUAAAGCUCUGUUGUUAGGGAAGAACAAAUGUGUAAGUAACUGUGCACAUCUUGACGGUACCUAACCAGAAAGCCACGGCUAACUACGUGCCAGCAGCCGCGGUAAUACGUAGGUGGCAAGCGUUAUCCGGAAUUAUUGGGCGUAAAGCGCGCGUAGGCGGUUUUUUAAGUCUGAUGUGAAAGCCCACGGCUCAACCGUGGAGGGUCAUUGGAAACUGGAAAACUUGAGUGCAGAAGAGGAAAGUGGAAUUCCAUGUGUAGCGGUGAAAUGCGCAGAGAUAUGGAGGAACACCAGUGGCGAAGGCGGCUUUCUGGUCUGCAACUGACGCUGAUGUGCGAAAGCGUGGGGAUCAAACAGGAUUAGAUACCCUGGUAGUCCACGCCGUAAACGAUGAGUGCUAAGUGUUAGGGGGUUUCCGCCCCUUAGUGCUGCAGCUAACGCAUUAAGCACUCCGCCUGGGGAGUACGGUCGCAAGACUGAAACUCAAAGGAAUUGACGGGGACCCGCACAAGCGGUGGAGCAUGUGGUUUAAUUCGAAGCAACGCGAAGAACCUUACCAAAUCUUGACAUCCUUUGACCGCUCUAGAGAUAGAGUUUUCCUCUUCGGAGGACAAAGUGACAGGUGGUGCAUGGUUGUCGUCAGCUCGUGUCGUGAGAUGUUGGGUUAAGUCCCGCAACGAGCGCAACCCUUGAACUUAGUUGCCAUCAUUCAGUUGGGCACUCUAAGUUGACUGCCGGUGACAAACCGGAGGAAGGUGGGGAUGACGUCAAAUCAUCAUGCCCCUUAUGAUUUGGGCUACACACGUGCUACAAUGGACAAUACAAAGGGCAGCGAAACCGCGAGGUCAAGCAAAUCCCAUAAAGUUGUUCUCAGUUCGGAUUGUAGUCUGCAACUCGACUACAUGAAGCUGGAAUCGCUAGUAAUCGUAGAUCAGCAUGCUACGGUGAAUACGUUCCCGGGUCUUGUACACACCGCCCGUCACACCACGAGAGUUUGUAACACCCGAAGCCGGUGGAGUAACCAUUUUGGAGCUAGCCGUCGAAGGUGGGACAAAUGAUUGGGGUGAAGUCGUAACAAGGUAGCCGUAUCGGAAGGUGCGGCUGGAUCACCUCCUUU